rnacentral:rRNA from 1 species
CGGGAAUUUUGGGCAAUGGGCGAGAGCCUGACCCAGCAACGCCGCGUGAGGGAUGAAGGCCUUCGGGUCGUAAACCUCUGUCGGGAGGGACGAAAGGCGCGCGGGUGAACAAUCCGCGUACUUGACGGUACCUCCAAAGGAGUCGCCGGCGAACUCCGUGCCAGCAGCCGCGGUAAUACGGAGGGUCCAAGCGUUGUCCGGAAUCACUGGGUGUAAAGGGUGUGUAGGCGGGCCUACAAGUCAGAGGUGAAAGCCCCCGGCCUAACCGGGGAACUGCCUUUGAGACUGUAGGUCUUGAGUCCUGGAGGGGUCACUAGAAUUCGUGGUGUAGCGGUGAAAUGCGUAGAUAUCACGAGGAAUACCAGAGGCGAAGGCGGGUGACUGGACAGGUACUGACGCUGAGGCACGAAAGCGUGGGGAGCAA